rnacentral:rRNA from 1 species
GGAAUCUGGGAGGACCAUCUCCUAAGGCUAAAUACUCUCUAGUGACCGAUAGUGAACCAGUACCGUGAGGGAAAGGUGAAAAGCACCCCGGAAGGGGAGUGAAAUAGAACCUGAAACCGUGUGCUUACAAGUAGUCAGAGCCCGUUAAUGGGUGAUGGCGUGCCUUUUGUAGAAUGAACCGGCGAGUUACGAUUUGAUGCAAGGUUAAGCAGUAAAUGUGGAGCCGUAGCGAAAGCGAGUCUGAAUAGGGCGUUUAGUAUUUGGUCGUAGACCCGAAACCAGGUGAUCUACCCUUGGUCAGGUUGAAGUUCAGGUAACACUGAAUGGAGGACCGAACCGACUUACGUUGAAAAGUGAGCGGAUGAACUGAGGGUAGCGGAGAAAUUCCAAUCGAACCUGGAGAUAGCUGGUUCUCUCCGAAAUAGCUUUAGGGCUAGCCUCAAGUGAUGAUUAUUGGAGGUAGAGCACUGUUUGGACGAGGGGCCCCUCUCGGGUUACCGAAUUCAGACAAACUCCGAAUGCCAAUUAAUUUAACUUGGGAGUCAGAACAUGGGUGAUAAGGUCCGUGUUCGAAAGGGAAACAGCCCAGACCACCAGCUAAGGUCCCAAAAUAUAUGUUAAGUGGAAAAGGAUGUGGCGUUGCCCAGACAACUAGGAUGUUGGCUUAGAAGCAGCCAUCAUUUAAAGAGUGCGUAAUAGCUCACUAGUCGAGUGACACUGCGCCGAAAAUGUACCGGGGCUAAACAUAUUACCGAAGCUGUGGAUUGUCCUUUGGACAAUGGUAGGAGAGCGUUCUAAGGGCGUUGAAGCAUGAUCGUAAGGACAUGUGGAGCGCUUAGAAGUGAGAAUGCCGGUGUGAGUAGCGAAAGACGGGUGAGAAUCCCGUCCACCGAUUGACUAAGGUUUCCAGAGGAAGGCUCGUCCGCUCUGGGUUAGUCGGGUCCUAAGCUGAGGCCGACAGGCGUAGGCGAUGGAUAACAGGUUGAUAUUCCUGUACCACCUAUA